rnacentral:rRNA from 1 species
AACCUCCGCAAUGUGAGAAAUCGCGACGGGGGGAUCCCAAGUGCCAUUCCUAACGGGAUGGCUUUUCAUUAGUGUAAAAAGCUUUUAGAAUAAGAGCUGGGCAAGACCGGUGCCAGCCGCCGCGGUAACACCGGCAGCUCGAGUGGUAGCUGUUUUUAUUGGGCCUAAAGCGUUCGUAGCCGGUUUAAUAAGUCUCUGGUGAAAUCCUGUAGCUUAACUGUGGGAAUUGCUGGAGAUACUAUUAGACUUGAGACCGGGAGAGGUUAGAGGUACUCCCAGGGUAGAGGUGAAAUUCUGUAAUCCUGGGAGGACCGCCUGUUGCGAAGGCGUCUAACUGGAACGGUUCUGACGGUGAGGGACGAAAGUUAGGGGCGCGAACCGGAUUAGAUACCCGGGUAGUCCUAACUGUAAACGAUGCGGACUUGGUGUUGGGGUGGCUUUGAGCUGCUCCAGUGCCGAAGGGAAGCUGUUAAGUCCGCCGCCUGGGAAGUACGGUCGCAAGACUGAAACUUAAAGGAAGU